AAAAAUAUCAACUUCUAUUGCCCAUCAUAGAGGCAUUCAUUCCUCUCACAAUUCUUACCUUAUUACAAUUUUUGGAGUCAUCACCGUUCAUCACCUCUCUUUUAUGCCUUUGUUUCCAAGCUUUCUAAUGUUUCCAUAUCUAAGGCUGUUGGAGAAGCAUUGUCUUAUCUAGAAUAAUGUGAUGCUAUGAUCGAGAACAUAUUUGCCCUUUAUGCUAGAAGUAAUUGGGAGUUGGUGCAAUUACCACAGGGUAAAUCUGUUGUUGAAUGUUGUUGGGUCUCUACGAUCAAAGUUGAUCUUGACGGACAAAUUAAUAGCCUCAAGCGUUAAUUUGUUGCAAAAGGCUACACUCAGAUGAAAGUAAUACAUUUUAUAGCGAUUACUUUUGCAGGUGCAACAAAAGACUCACUGUUAGAUGGAUUGCACCUACAAAAGUAAUCGCCUAUAGAUACCAGAGUGCAGUGGCAUGUAAAGCAUCGUAACAAGCCGAGCCUAUAAAAGCAAUGCAUUUUCUAUGAAAGGAAUAUAAAGUAACGUUAAUUUUGUUGAAUUUUAUACCACAAGCAUCUACAAAAGUAAUGCAUUUAUAAAGGUUCUUGAAAUUACAGACACUGUUAUGAUGCCUUACAUGCCACUGGUAUCUAUAGAGUAAACAAGAAGGAAAUAGAUAACUAUACAGCAGCAGAUUUCCAACGACUACGCAGCUCAAUCAUAAUGACAGCUUUUGUAAAUAGCCAAAGACUAUUACUGUUGGAUGGAUUGCUUCUCUCAUCUUCAAAGUAUGGACCAAAGUGGCAGAGGGAAAAUCCUGGUAGAUUAAAGUAGAAUCUACUUGUAAAUCCAUUCAUUUGCACGGCCUCCAGACUCAUCCAUGUCUAUAAAAAUGCUCACUGCCUUCCCUAUCCGAGGACGCUCUUUCAACUUUGCUAAGCUGUUUCGAAUGUGUGAGACAGCUCCCCAACAUUUCAAAGUGUUUGCCACAUCAUCAAGCCUGAGUAGAUACUCCUCCUCAGUUAGUGGAAAGGAUCUCUGCUCCAUGUACCUCCACAUGACAUUCAAAGCAAGGAGAUUUCUUCCCAUGAACUCCUUCUUUAUUAAUUGAACAUCAUAAGAUCUCCCAUACUUGUCCCUAAUAAGAGUUGCAAGGUCUAUUCCACUAAAAGCGGAAUCAUCUGUACCGACAAUUCUUUCAAGAUUUUUUCUUAGCAUUUCACUAUCAACCCCUCCAGCUUCAUCUUUGGGUAAAUCCUUGUCACUCUCUUCAUUUUCAGACUCAUCUGGAUCAUGGGUAUCAUCCACUGGAAUAGAGAAGAUAGGCCUACAUUUCCUGGUAGUUAGGCGAUAACUAGUGGCAACAGAUUGAGAAUCAGAGAAAACGAAUCCGCCAGAACGAGGAACCUUAUUAAAUCUUGCUCUGAAGAGAUAGCCCUGAACUCCAAGUGGUGGAUUACAACGGUGACUUGAUAUAAUACUCGUCAUUUCUUGGAUUAUGCAAAUAAUUUUGGUUUCAGAAUCAGUAGAUAGAAUUUGGAACAAAAAAUUUUGCAGAGAAAUUAGAAUUCCGUUCCCUUUCCUUUCUUUGAAAUGAAAGCAAAAUAUACCCAGAAAAGAAAACCAAUUGGAUUUGGAUAAUUCUUUGCAAAAGGAUUUAAGAAGAAAAGAAGAAGAAGAAGAGAAAGUAUGGCACGUCGAAUGGGAGAAAGAGAGAGGAGAGAAAGAAAAAGAGAGAGAUGGCAUGGAAGAAUUUCUGAGAGGGAUAUCCAACAGAGAUAGAUUAAUAAGAUAAAAUAGAGAAAGAAUAACAGAGAAUCAAAGAAUUAUAAGUACAGCAAAAUAAUUAAAACAAAAGCAUAAAGAUUAAAUUAAACAAAACAAAUUAAACUAGGGCGGUAGAACUAAUCACAA
rnacentral:misc_RNA from 1 species